CCCGCAACGAGCGAACAAGGGAGUCAUUAGUUGCUACGCAAGAGCACUCUAAUGAGACUGCCUGUGACAAACCGGAGGAAGGUGGGGAUGACGUCAAGUCCUCAUGGCCCUUAUGGGUAGGGCUUCACACGUCAUACAAUGGUACAUACAGAGGGCCGCCAACCCGCGAGGGGGAGCUAAUCCCAUAAAGUGUAUCGUAGUCCGGAUUGUAGUCUGCAACUCGACUGCAUGAAGUUGGAAUCGCUUGCAAUCGCGGAUAAUCAUGUCGCGCUGAAUACCUU
rnacentral:rRNA from 1 species